rnacentral:rRNA from 1 species
GAUGAACGCUGGCGGCGUGCCUAACACAUGCAAGUCGAGCGAUUCUCUUCGGAGAAGAGCGGCGGACGGGUGAGUAACGCGUGGGUAACCUGCCCUGUACACACGGAUAACAUACCGAAAGGUAUGCUAAUACGAGAUAAUAUGCUUUUAUCGCAUGGUAGAAGUAUCAAAGCUCCGGCGGUACAGGAUGGACCCGCGUCUGAUUAGCUAGUUGGUAAGGUAACGGCUUACCAAGGCGACGAUCAGUAGCCGACCUGAGAGGGUGAUCGGCCACAUUGGAACUGAGACACGGUCCAAACUCCUACGGGAGGCAGCAGUGGGGAAUAUUGCACAAUGGGCGAAAGCCUGAUGCAGCAACGCCGCGUGAGCGAUGAAGGCCUUCGGGUCGUAAAGCUCUGUCCUCAAGGAAGAUAA